rnacentral:rRNA from 1 species
AGUGUAGGCGGGACCGCAAGUCAGAUGUGAAAUUUAUGGGCUCAACCCAUAACCUGCAUUUGAAACUGUGGUUCUUGAGUGAAGUAGAGGUAAGCGGAAUUCCUAGUGUAGCGGUGAAAUGCGUAGAUAUUAGGAGGAACAUCAGUGGCGAAGGCGGCUUACUGGGCUUUUACUGACGCUGAGGCUCGAAAGCGUGGGGAGCAAACAGGAUUAGAUACCCCAGUA